GCCGCUUCUCUCUUCCAACACUUAGACAAAUUUCAUUCUCAAUCUUUCCUUCCUAUGGUGAACACCGAAAAACUCUGGACCUCUAACACCUUCUGCUUCCGCAAAAUGCUCCUCUAAAGCACCAUUGACGAGUGCCAAUCUUCAGGUCAAGCUCGCCGAAGAAGCGAAGUCAGAACACUUCCAAGCUCCCUCCUCGUUCCGCGACUUUAGUUUAGACUUUUCUCCGACCCCCUUUUCAGCUAAUUGUGCGUGGGGAAGAUAAUACUCUUGGCCAAAUCGCAUCCGAAACACUUGCGAUCUGGAGUAUUAACAGUGUUAGGGAUGGUCAGAACCGGCUUUCUUUGAGGAGCUAUGAAAUGCGAACAUAUUUUGACUGCAUUAAUUUGGUUGGAUGAAAGAAAAAAAGGAGAGGAGGUCUUCGGCUGAACGGAAAAAGGGAGGAGGUUUGGAGAAAGGAAAAAGAAAACAGAGCAAAAAGAGAGAGAGAGAGCCAGAGAGUAGACGGAAGAAAAAUUGAAAAAAGAGGGGUGGAAAAAGGGAAGAGCUUCGACAAGAAAACAGAGCAAAGAAAAACCAAGAAUCGAAGGAAUCAGCAAGGAGUUGCUGUUGCCGCUGCUGCCACCAGAAUCCACCACCACCACCUGCAAGUCCUCACCGCAAAAGCUUGGUUCUAACACGAUUCCCAAGAAGAAGAAGCCAGUCAUUGCUGUGAAGAUGGUUUUUGAAUUGAAGACUACAAGGCCUAUCGUGCUCAUGUUUUGUUCUAGAUGGGAAUCGUGCUCAUAUUUUUGUAUAGAACUUUACUACUCUCUAUUGUGGAUGGGAAAUCACUAGUAUUGUAACUGAAUGGCUUAUUUUGGAUGGUGCAUGGUUUAUGACUCAUUUGAGGCAACAUUUAUAUAUAUAUGUAUUUCGGUUGAUCUUCUAUUGGAAAUGAAUGUUGGUUUUCUUUUC